rnacentral:rRNA from 1 species
GACAGAGGGUGCGAACGUUGCUCGGAAUUACUGGGCGUAAAGCGCGUGUAGGCGGCAACGCAAGUCGGGCGUGAAAUCCCACGGCUCAACCGUGGAAGUGCACUCGAAACUGCGUAGCUAGAGUCCUGGAGAGGAAGGUGGAAUGCUUGGUGUAGAGGUGAAAUUCGUAGAUAUCAAGCGGAACACCGGUGGCGAAGGCGGCCUUCUGGACAGUGACUGACGCUGAGACGCGAAAGCGUGGGGAGCAAACAGG